UUUUUGCAGGGUCCUAUCAGUGGCCCUAACAGAGAUAUUUCUAUUCUCCAGUGCCAUGGAGAUUCCGACCUUAGUUCCCAUGACUUGGUUCUCUUACUGCUGAAAACUAAAAACAUUGGUAAAUCCAGCUAAUGUAACCUUUAAAACCUAUGAAGGCAUGAUGCACAGUUCAUCUCAGCAGGAAAUGAUGGAUGUCAAGCAAUUCAUUGAAAAACUCCUACCUCCAAUUGAUUGACGUCACUAAGAGGCCUUGGUAAGAAGUACACCAGCAUCAUUGUAAUAGAGUAUAAACCUUUUCCCGUGCCCAGUCUCCAAACCUCUGAUGUUUGCAGUGUUAAAAUGUUUUGCAAAUACACGCCAAUGACACAGACUAAAUAAUGUCUCCUCAUGGGAAAUUUAUGAUCUUUUAAAUUUCUAUACAUGUAUUCUUAUGAUCCAGAAUAUUACUAGUAUUAAGGUGAAGCAGCUAGCUUCUUUUUUCUCAAAUGUAAUUCAGCAAAAUAAAAAAUACUACAACCAGA